CAUCAGUGAUAAGAAUUAUCAAGUUGAUUCUGGUGGUUGUGAUGCCAAUUGCUCUACUUCUGUUUUGUCUGAGGUGAAACUAUAAGAAUGAAUCAGUUCCAUCACUGACAUUUACUAUGAAUAUUUACUUUCAUAGUUUUGGAGUUAUCAAUUAAACUUUUUAUUUAUUUGUUUUUUGAUUCAAUUCAGGAAGAAGAAAACUCUGAGCUCCACCGCUGAACCAAAUGAACAGAUAGAGACUAUAGAGUUGAUGUCUGGUCCUGAUUGUACCAACGCCUCAGCCUUGAACCAAAACUGUAUGUGACUUUCUUCAGAUGGAGUCAAACCAGAGGGGACUCACCUGGAUCGGAACAAAGAAAAGCCACUGAAGUAGUCCAGUGUAGAACGAGGGAAGGUGGAGGAAGUUGAUACAUUUACCUUCAAGGAACGUUUUCAUUUUUAGUUUUUAUUAGCAGCAGCAUAUAUUUUUACCUGUGCAGGUACAUUACAUACGCUCAGUAUUUAACUCAGUAUGUAAAAUAUUAUUUAAAGUUUUAAUGUAAUAAAUAGUUUUUAAGAAAUACUGGUUGCCCUUUCACGUCACACCUGUCCUGGUAAUGAAAGCCAAUAAAGUCUGUUCAAAACAAACACAUUGAACAGGACAUAUCUCACAGCAUGUACUGUCUGUAUUUAAACACUGAAAUCAAACAGAAGCCGAGCUCUGUCACACUUUGCAAGUGUUUCAAUUUCAAAUUGUUGCAGCCAGCUUCCACAACAACUCUGCAGUUUGAUCAUCAUUUCAGUUUCCUCUCACUGCUGUAGAGGGUGACAGUGUGCAGGAAGUUUUAGAUUUCAGCUUUAAACAAACUGCUUGUGUUUAUCAUUCAGAACAAAGUUUGUAUUUAUCAGUAAUUUCUCAAAUGUUUGUAGGGGUCAGGGUAAUUUCUUUGGUUUAAAAAAACAGUUAAAAAAUACACCUAUCAGCCGUAAUGUUAUGACCACUUACAGGUGAUGCGAAUAACACCGAUUAUCUCGUUACCAUGGCACCUGUCAGUGGGUGUGAUAUAUCAGGCAGCAGGUAAACACUGUCUCAUAGUUGAUGUGCUACAAGCAGGAAAAAUUGGCUGUGUAACGCCUCAUGUCUCUGAACAGUGCUGCUGAAAAUGACAUGAUGUGGACGAGUUUCUUAAGUGUUAAAUAUAUAUAUAAUAUAAUGGCGGUUUUAUUCGUCCGCUUUAUUAUACACUGUACUUAGACUUUACAAAUUCUAACUUUUUGUGUCAUGAUUUACAUAAGAUCAAUCCAGGUUGUUGAGGGACUUUCCUUGCUCUGUAACGUCACAAAACAUUAACAAUGACUUUGAUGUGUCAUUAUCACACUGUCUGAGGCCAAACCAUUCUGAGUUACAGUACUUUGUAUGAGAUCAUUAGAAUAAGAAAUCCAAUUGUAUGGUCUGGCUUAGUGUUUAUAGAUGUGACCACUUUUUUGAACAUGUAUUUCUUAUGUGGGGACUAGGCCUGAAGGUUACCAUCUUUUCUGUUCAGUUCAAGUUCACCUUGUCAGCUUUUGUAUUUGACCUGUGAGAUCUCUUAAUACAGUCUCCAGACUCUACAGGCAUCAAUGCAACACAUUCUUUUCAUGUCUGAAAGUUUUCUUCUUGUAGAUGUUAAUUAGUCAUUACAAACUGAAUAAGAGCUGCAUGUUAUCAUCACAAACACUGAGUAUUGGGAAUGUAUUCUUUGUAUCCAAUGGAUUUUUGUUAUUUUAAGUAAUAAGAACUAUAUUUUGCAUCCAUAUUUUUAUAAUUUGAUAGUUCAAAGAUCCUGCGCACCUGUAUGGGUAUGUAAGGCCUUCAAUGAAUAAUAAAGUCUCUACUACUGACUGACA